CCAGAUUUGACUUUUAAACCAAUUAUUAUUAAUUUCACAUAGUUAGUUACCAACCAAGAAUCUUUUGUUACAGUCAAGAAUUUAAAUAAAUUAAAUAUAGUAGAUUUGAAACUUAUUCCCUAUGGGACGAUAACUUUCUCAUCACAAUUAUUAUUUGUACAACAAACCUGUAUGGCUGUGGGAUUUGGAUGAACAAGUUUUUGGCGCUAUUGUAGGGUAAUAAUGGUGUUAAUUUUAGUUAUUGGGUAUUAUAGAUUCGUUUUCAUUUUGACUCUUGUUAUUUUUAGGCUAUUACUAUACUGCUUAAUUCUUUUGCAUCUUGACCAUUUUCAGAUGAAUUUGGUAUAUGCAAAAUCAUGACGAACCCGAUCUAAUUCCAAUAGAUCACGAAAUCAAAAGGACAUUCAGAAAAUCAUAGAAGAGUGCAACAUCAAACAAGGAGAAUGGCUGAUAAAUCAGAAUCAACCGCAGAAUCAAAUUCAGGUUUAGGAGCAACUAUCGCAGCCAAAUCAACAGAGAGCUAUCGAGAAUGAAGCUCCUAUUUUAGUUGGGGAUUAAUGUAAAUCCAAUUCCUGUACCAGUGCAACCUGUCGUAGUAUAUCCUUCUUUCGGACAAUUUAAUUUCCACUUCAAAUCGGAUGUCAUAAAUCAAUUUCAAAAUCACUAAGACGUUCGGCUUUUUGGGAAAGUCACAAAGAACCUUCAUGAACAUAUUUCGGCUUUUCUCAUGUUAUGUGAAAUGAUCGGCCACAAAGGGAUAUCAGCAAGACUCAUUUCGAAU
rnacentral:lncRNA from 1 species